UUUAAAAGUGCCGCUCGGCAUACACAAUAUUUAACUCUCAGAAACCAAUACAUAUCUCCAAGACCCGAAAACCCAUGAAUCACAAGAUAAGGAUCACUACAUAGUGCUCUAACUCCAUAAUAGUCUAAAACCAAUGAAAUACAGAAGGGCGAUAACUAUGAGAGAGAGUGGAGAGAGACUCCUUGGUCUGCGGAUGUAGUAGGUAUACCUCGAAGUCUCCAAAUGAUCGCCUCACCUCAAGGAUGGUAAGCCUGAGUCAAGGUACCUGGAUGUUCACAUGAAAAACAUACGCAGAAAGGGCAUGAGUACACCACAGCAGUACUCAGUAAGUGCCAAGCCUAACCUCAGUCGGGUAGUGACGAGGAAGGUCAGGGCCCUACUGAGGUUAAAUAAAAUACAAAGUAUAACAAUGUAGAACAAGAUAGUAUAAUUAAGUGCAACAGUAAGAAAUAACAUAGAAUAAAAAUAGCAACAACAACUAGAACAGAGGCAAAAUAAUCACAGAAAGGAAAUACAACUCAACACAGAGAUAACAACCGGGGUACCUUCAAAGAUACCAUCCUGUAGUCCCAAUUAUAGCUAUCCAGUGGAUCUCCCGGGAUCCCGGCCCGUAGUCCAACAAUCAGUGCGCGAGGAUCUACUGGAAUCCUGAUCCGUAGUCCCAAAUAUAAAUACCAGUACUGGGGGAAUCUACCGGGUGAAGUCCCGUAGUUCCAUAUAACUAUGCAGGGGGAUCUACUAGAAUCCCACAUCCGUAGUCCCAAAUAAACAGACAAGGGGAAUCUACCGGAGUCCCACAUCUGUAAUCCCAAUGUAAAUACACAGCAGCAACAGGAAAUUAUUCAGAAAUGGCGAAUUUCAUAUUAAGGCAACAAGUAAUUCUAGCCUAGCAUGCUGCAUAGAAUAAAUGUAAGGCAGUUUUAGAAAAUAAAGCAAUUAAAUCACUUAGACAUGCUUUCCUAAGCUACGACAGGCUUAAUAAUGCGAGUAAUAAAAACAAGAAAAGAAACAUACUAGUAAUUACUUAAUGAAAACCGGAUUUUCAAUAAUUAGCACAAGUACGCACUCGUAUCCUCACGUACAAGGAAUUUCAAUUACCAAUUAUACCAAAUCCUAAGGUGAAAGGUCCCCCACACAAGGUUAGGUAAACCACUUACCUCGAACCGGCUCAAUAAUCAAUCUGAAACCAUGCUCUUGCCACGAGUACUCGACUCCAAAUUACCCAAAUUUAUUCAAUUUGAUUGCAAUAAAUAACACUUUAAGUAACUGAUUCUACAAAGAAAUUCUAAGCUAAUACGCAAAAUUAGGUAAAAUGACCAAAAAGCCCAUCGGGCCCAUAUCUCGAAAUUGGGUAAAAUUUACAUUUUCAGAAACCUCGUACUCUCACGAGUCUAUACAUAACAAGAACACUGAAAUCGAAGUUUAAUUGGCCCCUCAAAUACCCAUGUUAAGGUGUCUUAAUCUCAAGCCCUAAUUACCCAUUUUCCCCAAAUUUCUCACCACAUGUUAAGCUGUCUUAAUCUCAAGCCCUAAUUACCCAUUUUCCCCAACUUUCUCACCACCAAUUAGGUCCUUUAUCACAUAUAAACGAGUUAUGAAGUUAAAAAUGUUACUUCCAAGUGAUUCCCCUUGAAUCCCUCUUCAAUCCUCUUCAAAGAGCUCCAAAAUCGCUCAAAAUUGGUGGAAGAUAACCUCAAAAUGGUGGACCAAAUGACUAUUUAAACAUUCAUCCCAGGCAUCAAAUCCUUCUUCGCGAACACGGUCAACGCCUCGCGUUCGCAAAGCACAAAUUUACUUUGACUAAAAUUCCUUCAUCGCGAUCGCGACACAGCUCGCGAACGUGAAGGCUUAGCUCUGUACUCAACGCGAAUGUGACGUCCCCCCGCAAACGGGAAGGACAAAUCAACCUCAACCCAACCGCCCAACUUUCCUCUAUGCGAACGCAGUAUCACCUCGCGAAGGCGAUGCACAAGACCCCAGCCCCUUCGUGAACGGGGAGACUCCCUCGUGAACGCGAAGGCUAAAUCCUUAGCCUCACCUGCUAACCCUUCGCGAACGCGAGGGCCUACUCGUGAACAAGAGGGCCUACUCAGGAACGCGAAUGUCAUUUUUCUGCAACACCUAACAGUAGUUUUCUGCAGUUUUUCACAACUUGAAAUGGUCCGAUUGACCACCCGAAACAGACCCUAGGCCUCCGGGACCUCAACCAAACCUGCCAACUAAUCCUAAAACAUCGUUCAAACUAUUUCCAACCUUUGGAAUGCUCAAAACAACAUCGAAACACCUAUUUUUCAUCGGAUCCAAGCCUAAGAAUUCCAAAAACCCCUAAAAAUAUGCUUUCGAUCAAAAAGUCUAUCAAACCUCGUCUGAAUGACCUGAAAUUUUGCACACACGCCACAUUAAACACUAUGGAGCUACUCCAACUUCCAAAAUGCCAUUCCCACCCUCAGAUCAAAAUCUCACUAUCGAACCGAAAACUUCAAAAAUUCAACUUUCGGCAUUUCAAGCUUAAAUUAGAUACGGCCCUCCAAAACACAAUUCGAACACACCCCUAAGCCCAAAAUCACCUAACGAAGCUAACAGAACUAUCAGAUUUCCAUUCCGAGGCCAUCUUCACACUGUUAUGACAACAGUCAACUUUUCAACACUUAAGCUCUCAUUUAGGGACAAAGUAUCCCAAAACUCUCCAAAACUCAACCGAACAUCCCGGCAAAUCAAAAUAGCAGAAAUAAACUCGGGAAAAGUAGUUAAUAGAGGAUCGGGGCAUAAAUUCUUAAAUGACCGACCGGGUCGUCAUAUCCUCCUACACUUAAACAUUCGUUCGUCCUCGAACGAGCAUAAAGACAUACCUGAAGUAGUGAAAAGAUGAGGGUAACAGCUGCGCAUAUCCUGCUCAGUCUCCCAGGUCACCUCCUCGACCGGCUGACCCCGCCACUAAACCUUUACUGAUAAAAGGUUCUUUGACAUCGGCUUUCUAACCUUCCUGUCCAAUAUUGCCACUGGUUCCUCAAAAUAGGAUAGAUCCUUGUCCAACUAGACUGAACUAAAAUCCAACACGUGCGACGGAUCACUGUGAUACCUCCGGAGCAUCNNNNNNNNNNNNNNNNNNNNNNNNNACUCAACUCCUUUUUUUCCCAAAUCUCAUAACGCCCUUUAUAGGCGAAACCCGAAGCAGAACCCGCUCUCCAACCAUAUAGGAAAUAUCACGAACCUUCCGGUCCACGUAACUCUUCUGUCUGGACUGGGCUAUACGGAGUCUAUCCUGAAUCACUUUAACCUUCUCCAAGGCAUCCUGAACCAGGUCUGUGCCCAACAAUCUAGCCUCACCCGGCUUAAACCAACCCACCGGGGAUCUAUACCGCCUACCGUAUAAAGCCUCGUACGGUGCCAUUUGAAUGCUGGACUGAUAGCUGUUGUUGUAGGAAAACUCUGCCAAUGGCAAGAACUGAUACCAAGACCCUCCAAACUCAAUCACAUUCGUAUGGAGCAUAUCCUCAAGAAUCUAAAUAGUGCGCUCGGACUACCCGUCCCUCUAAGGGUGAAAUAUUGUACUCAACUCCACCUGAGUACCCAACUCAUGCUGAACGGCUCUCCAGAAUCGUGAUGUGAACUAAGUACCUCUAUCUAAAAUGAUGGAAAUUGGAAUACCAUGCAGACAAACAAUAUCCCAGAUAUAGAUCUUUGCCAAACGCUCCGAAGAAUAAGUAGUACACACAGGAAUAAAGUGAGCGGACUUGGUCAGUUGAUCCACAAUCACCCAAAUAGCAUCGAACUUUCCAAAGUCCGUGGGAGCCCAACUACAAAGUCCAUGGUGAUCCACUCCCACUUCCACUCCGGAAUCUCUAUCUGUUGAAGCAACCCACCUGGUCUCUGGUGCUCAUACUUCACCUGCUGACAAUUGAGGCACCGAGCUACAAAUCUAACUAUAUCUUUCUUCAUCCGUCUCCACCAGUAGUGCUGCCUCAAAUCCUGAUACAUCUUCGCGCCACCCGGAUGAAUAGAAUACCGCGAGCUAUGGGCCUCAUAUAGAAUCAACUCUCGAAGCCUAUCAAUAUUUGGUACACAAAUCCGACCUUCCAUCCUCAAUACCUCAUCAUCACCAAUAGUCACAUCUCUGGCAUCACCGUGCUGAACCUUGUCCUUGAGGGCAAGCAAAUGAGGGUCAUCAUACUGCCGCUCCCUGAUACGAUCAAAUAAGGAAGAUCGAGAAACCACGCAAGCUAGAACUCGACUAGGCUCCGAAAGAUCCAAUCUCACUAACUGGCUGGCUAAGGCCUGAACAUCCAUCGCCAUAGGCCUCUCCGAUGCUGGUAAAUAAUCCAAACUCACCAAACUCUCUGCUCGGUGACUCAAAGCAUCGGCCACCACAUUGGCUUUUCCGAAGUGAUACAAAAUAGUGAUGUCAUAGUCCUUCAGCAACUCUAACCACCUCCUCUGGUACAAAUUUAGAUCCUUUUGCUUGAACAAGUGCUGCAAGCUCUGAUGGUCAGUAUAAGUCUCACAAGGCACACUAUAUAAAUAAUGGUGCCAGAUCUUCAGGGCGUGAAUAUUGGCAGCUAACUCAAGGUCGUGAACAGGGUAUUUCUUCUCAUGUAUCUUCAACUAUCUAGACACGUAGGCAAUCACCCUACCGUCCUGCAUCAACACCGCUCCGAGGUCAAUCCUCGAGGCAUCACAAUAGACUAUAUAAGACCCCGAACCUGUAGGUAGUAUCAAAAUUGGGGUUGUGGUCAAAGCUGUCUUGAGCUUCUGAAAGUUCGCCUCACACUCCUCCAUCCACUGGAACGGAGCAACCUUCUAGGUCAACCUGGUCAUAGGGGCUACAAUCGAUGAAAACCGCUCCACAAAAUGUGUUAGUAACCCGCCAAGCCAAGGAAAUUGCAGAUCUCUGUAGCUAAGGAUGGUCUGGGCCAACUCUAUACGACCUCUAUCUUCUUCGAAUCAACAUGAAUACCCUCACUCGAUACCACGUGUCCUAAGAAUGCCACUGAAUCUAACCAAAACUCAGUGCGCAGGGAUCUAACAGAAUCCUGAUCCGUAGUUACAAAUAUAAAUACCCAGUACUGGGGGAAUCUACCGGGAGCAGUCCUGUAGUUCCAUAUAACUGUGCAGGGGGAUCUACCGGAAUCCCUCAUCUGUAGCCCCAAAUGAACAGACAAGGGGGAUCUACCGGAAUCCCACAUCCUUAGUUCCAAAUAAACAAACAAAGAGAAUCUACCAGAGUCCCAUAUCUGCAGUCCCAAUGUAAAUACACAACAACAACAGGAAAAUAUUCAGAAAUGGCAAAUUUCAUAUUAAGGCAACAAGUAAUUCUAGCCUAGCAUGCUGCACAGAAUUCAGGUAAGGCAGUUUGAGCAAAUAGAGCAAUUAAAUCACUUAGACAUGCUUUCCUAAGCUAAGACAGGCUUAAUAGUGCGAGUAAUAAAAACAAAAAAAGAAACAUACUAGUAAUUACUUAAUGAAAACCAGAUUUCAAAUUUCAUAUUAAGGCAACAAGUAAUUCUAGCCUAGCAUGCUGCGCAGAAUUCAGAUAAGGCAGUUUGAUCAAAUAAAGCAAAUAAAUCACUUAGACAUGAUUUCCUAAGCUACGACAGGCUUAAUAGUGUGAGUAAUAAAAACAGGAAAAGAAACAUACUAGUAAUUACUUAAUGAAAACCAGAUUUCCAACAAUUAGCACAAGUACGCACUAGUCACCUCACGUAUAAGGCAUUUCAAUUAUCAAAUAUACCAAAUCCUAAGGGGAAAGGUCUCUCACACAAGGUUAUGCAAGCCACUUACCUCGAACCGGCUCAAUAAUCAAUCCGAAACUAUGCUCUUACCACGAGUACUCAACUCCAAAUUACCCAAAUCUAUUCAAUUCAAUUGCAUAAUAUAAAUAACAUUUCAAGUAACUGAUUCUACAAAGAAAUUCUAAGCUAAUACGCAAAAUUAGGUAAAAUGACCAAAAAUCCCAUAGGGGCCCACGUCUCGAAAACGGGUAAAAUUUAUAUUUUCAGAAAAUUCGUACUCUCACGAGUCUAUACAUAAUAAGAACACUGAAAUCGGAGUUCAAUUGGCCCCUCAAAUACCUAUGUUAAGGUCUUUUAAUCUCAAGCCCUAAUUACCCAUUUUCCCCAAAUUUCUCACCACCAAUUAAGUCCUUAAUCACAUAUAAACGAGUUAUGAAGUCAAAAAUGUUAACUCUAGGUGAUUCCCCUUGAAUACCUCUUUAAUCCUCUUCAAAGAGCUCCAAAAUCGCUCAAAAAUGGUGGAAGAUAAACCCCAAAAUCGUGGACCAAAUGACUAUUUAAACAUUUUGCCCAGUCAUCAAAUCUUUCUUCGCGAACGCGAGGAUCUUUCUUCGCGAACGCGGUCAACGCCUCGCGUUCGCGAAGCACAAAUUUACUUUGGCUAAAAUUCCUUCAUCGCGAUCGCGACACACAACUCACGAACGCGAAGUCUUAGCUCUUAUAUUCAAUGCGAACACGACGUUUCUACCAUGUGUUUGAACGGUUGCAUGUUUCAUCCGGCAUUAACAAACCCUUUUUCGCUCUGCCUUUCACUCUUUAUUUUCUCAUUUUAUUUUUGUCGCUCUUUUAUUUUUGGGUCUCUUUUUUCUCUUUUUGUUUUUUCACUCCUUUAUUUUUUUUUGUCGUCCUUUUUUUCCCCUUUUUGUCACUCUUUUCUUUCUUUUCACUCAAUUUGUUUUUCAAUUUUUUUUUCUCUUAAUUAAUUUUAUGGCUAUGAUUGAAUCCGAUGGGGAUUGCCUACGUACAUGACACCGCAUGAAUCAGAUCAUUACGUAGUUUAGGAAGAUCAGGAAUAGAGGAAAUAAAUUAACUCUUUUUUCUGAUUUCUUUGACAUUUUUUAUAUGAAAAUCAUAUCACAAAGGCUUCUAACAAGGAAAAAUAUUUAGGAUUUUGAAUUUUGAAUUUUUUUUUCUUUUUUUUAUUGUUAUCUGAAAGAAAGAUCUCUACAAAUUCUUUUUCUUUUGUUUUGAAUCAUUGGGAAUUUCAAAAGAAAAAAAAUACUUUUGUUUGAAUUUCCAUUCGUUUUCUCUUCCUUUUUUAUAAAGAAGAAAGAAGAUAUUUUUGAAUUUUGAAUGAUGAUUCUGAAUUCUUGAAAGAGGGACUUUUAAGAAUUUUUUCUAAUUUAAUUUAAGAAAGUACUUCUAAAGAAAAGUGAAAAUAAUUUUUCUACUUUAAAUUUUUAAUUUUAUGACAUUUAUGAAAGAAGGACUUCUAAAGAAGAAAGAGAAUACUUUUUGGAUUUUUGUUUCUGAUUGUUUUUUUAAAAUAAAAAUACUUAUGAAGAAGGGAAAAACAAAUUUUUGGAUUUUGUUUGAUGAUUUUCUUUUGAAUGAAAGACUUCAAAAAGAAGGAAAAUAUUUUUGGGUUUUAAAAUUGUUUUUAGGUUUUCUAAGGAAAGGAAUUUUUUUUGACAAUUGAGGGUCGAAAUUGAUGAGGUUUGCCUACGUAUCUCACAUCCGGUGAGAAUCAGACUCGCGUAGUUUGGUCAGAAGUAAGAUAGAAGAAAUAUGACCUUUUAAAAAUAUUGGCGUAUUGUCUUUCUCUUUUUUUUUUCUAAAUCUUUGGCAGAGUUUCGAAUUUUUCAAAUACCUAUCUCUCAGUCUUGAUUUCUUUUUUCUUUUUCUUUUCUUUUUCUUUUAAAUUUCUUUCCAUAUUCUAGAAGCUGGUCAACAUACAAUCCAGAUCAAACAAAUGUACAAGUAACACGUAAAAUUCAUUAGGAUGGUCUUUUUAGUUUGGGAUGCACCCGUCCUAGCGGACCUAACCCCUGUGUUGAGUCCUUAAGGUCAAAUGCACGUGAUGCAAAUAAGCGUACCUACUAGGGAUCCGACAUGAGGCUAUGUCAUUAUAUGUUUUAAAACCUGAGUGUAUUGUUCUAGACCUGGCUUAUCCGAGCGGACGACUCGAGCCGAGGGGGGGCAGCGUACCGGGAAUACAGAAGCUUCACCGACUUUGCAACUUGUUGAAAUCUCGUUCUAAAAUUAGGAUAUGACUCUAACAGAAAAGAAGUCACGCGAAGCACGCUUCCUAGAAGAUUUAGAAGACCAAGAGAGAAGAAAUGUUUCGUAACAGUUUUAUAUACAGUUCAAACAAUAUCAAAGAGGUAAAAGCGGCAUUUAGCACGUUAGGCUCAAACACGUAAAAAUUAGAUAAUAAAUAAAAGCCAAGUAUAAUAGUUAUUCUAAGCUCGAAUUCUAAACUCUGAACUAGAGAUUCUGGGUUCGUUUCCCAGUAAAGUCGCCAUAGCUGUCAGAGCUGGCUUUUCAAGAGGGGAUAGAGAGUUUUUUCAAUUAAUGGGACAUUAUUUAAAAUGGGAUUAUUUAUUUGAUUCAAAGACGCCACUUGGAAUAAUUUAUGGUGUCCAAAAUCACCGGUUUAUUUUAAAUCCACAAUCGAGGAAAUCUGACUCUAUUUUAAAGUCAGCAAAACCAGAAGGCCGGGAAAGAAAUUCUGUUAACCCAGGAGAAGGUGUGAGGCACUCCCGAGUUCCGUGAUUUUAGCACGCACUCAAUUAUUAAUAAUUGGACUAAUUAUCUAAUUAAUUAUAUAUUUAUAACCCAUUGUGCAUUUUUAACUUCUAACCACUUCCAAUUAAUUUAAUCCCAUUUUAGUAUUUAUGGAAUUAUUUUUGGAAUAAGUCAUGAUACCGUACACUUAUCGUUUUGGUACACGUUGCAAAUCAUGCCACAUGAAAUGCACCCGCAAUUUACGACAUGUUUAUUUUUAUUAUUAUUUGAAGUUAUGGUCGAGUCACGUGAAAUGUGCACUCGAAUUGGGGAUUACGUAUCAUGACUAUACCACGGGAACCAUACUUAUAGUCACGAUAAUUAUUAUUAAUCGAGCCUAAAGCAAGCUACACAUUUGAAUGAUUCAAUUUAUUUCAAUCAUUAUGACUGCAUAUAGCUUGAAAUUUUAUGGAAAACAACAUUCAAUCAGAAAAAGGCAAAAGCAUUACAUGAUAUAUGAGAAAGACUGACCUCUUGUUUGAAGGAAUAUAUUACUUCUUCAGAAUAUUCUUCAUUUGCAAAUAUUUUAACAGCAACAUCAACAUAGAAAAAUGAACAGUAAUGAAACUCCUCAGCAAACCCAAAGAAUCGACGCCAAACCCGGAAGAACUCGAAACCAGUGUUCUGCUUCUUCUUUUUUCGAACUUUUGUUCUAAACUCUUAUUUUUUUCGAAUUUUUUCAGCUCUGCUUUUUUAAUCACAGAGUAUUUCGUGAAAGCUAGUGUGUUUGUGUGUGUGAGUCGUGAGUGAGAGGUGAGUGAAGCGAGUGUGGAGGUGAAAGUGAGGAUAGUCAUUCAAUGGAGGAAGGUUGUCCGUCUCUCUUGUUGAGCGAGAGAUCAGGAAAAAGAAAUAGGAGAAACAUCACUAGGGUGUUCAGGAGGGGGAAAGUCCAAUUUUCU
rnacentral:lncRNA from 1 species